GUUUUACCCUUAAUUGGCAGUUUUUGGGAAAUGAGGCUAAUAAGUCACGAUCUCUCAUUUUUUUUCUCUUCCCCACCCAAAACCCUAAUCUUCUUCUCUCAACCCACAGCCCCUCCGUCUCCAAGCGCCGCUCCACCAUCUUUUGUCAAUCUACCGCUUCAAAGCCGCCGUCGCCGCCGACGAUUCACCCUUGGCAGAUCCGCUUGAUUUCCGACCACGAUUUGCGGCAAGCGCCGCUGUUCGAUUUCGGCAAAGAAGAUGAAGACGGUGUCGUAUCAAUGGCGCCAGACAUGUUUAGACCACUGAGAUCCGUCCUCUUCUGUCGGGAUCCGUUCGCCUUGGAUCCCUCCAAUUGCGCCACUACUGCCGGCAACGGAUCCGUCCUCUUCCGUCGGGAUCCGUUCGCCUUGGAUUCCUCCAGUCACCGCCCCUACGGCCGACAACGGAUCCGGCUCCUUGUUUAUAUAUCUAUUAUUGCCCCUUGUGUGUGGUCUGCAUCUAUUUAGAUUUGUAGAUCAUGUGUUUGUUUGUAGGAUGUUAAUAUACACCGUAAAAUAUGAUAAAUGCAUAAGCCUCUUGCAGGCUUCAUCAUAGAAAUCAAAUCAAUGAUGGCUAUCAAGGAGCAGGAUCUGGAAGGGGAUAUGGAAGGGCUGGAAGUGUUAUUAAGGUGGUGGCUUGUUUGGUUGUUCGAGAAAGGAUUGUGUUUGAACAACUUCUAUGAACUAAGUUGUUGUUGAGAAAAAAUGGUGUUCGUCAAUUCAAAACAGUUCUUUUGCAACCGAUAAAUGGGAGUUGUCCUGUUUGAAAAGUGGGAUUUGAAUUGUAAUCAUAUAUAUGUAGUCAUAUACAGUCACAUGUGGUCAUAUACGUAUAGUCAUUUAUAGUCACAUGUGGUCAUAUACAUAUAGCCACCAUAUAUAGUCACAUGUGGUCAUAUACAUAUAGUCAUAUAUAGUCACAUGUGGUCAUAUAUAUAUAUAUAUAGUCAUGUAUAGUAGCAUGUAGUUUCAUGUAGUAAUAUAUAGUUAUAUACAAGUUAUGUGGUUUUUCUGACGUGUAGUAAUCUUGAUGAUUGUGGUUUUUUUCAAUUUUUUGUUGGGUACUAAUUGAUUUAUAAUAUCAAGAUUCAAAUUGUGAAUUUA